AAUUUGGACAAGUGGGGAAACCCUGAUCCGGCCUUGCCGCGCGUAUGAUGAAGGCCUUNGGGUUUNANAGUACUUUUGGCAGUAANAAAAAGGUAUCACCUAAUAUGGGUUACUGCUGACGGUAUCAGCAGAAAAAGCACCUGCCCCUCAUGUGGCAGCAGCAGCGGUAAUACGUAGGGUGCAAGCGUUAAUCGGAAUUACUGGACGUAAAACGUGAGUAGGCGGUUCGCGAAGUAAUAACUGAAAGCCCAGGGAUCAUCCUUGGAACUGCAUUUAUAACUGCCGAGCUAGAGUAUGUCAGAGGGGGGUAGAAUUCCACGUGUAGCAGUGAAAUGCGUAGAUAUGUGGAGGAAUACCAAUGGCGAAGGCAACCCCCUGGGAUAAUACUGACGCUCAGACACGAAAGCGUGAGGAGCAAACAGG
rnacentral:rRNA from 1 species